UACGGGGGGGGCAAGCGUUGUUCGGAAUUACUGGGCGUAAAGCGCGCGUAGGCGGCUCUUCAAGUCGCGUGUGAAAGCCCCCGGCUCAACUGGGGAGGGUCACGCGAUACUGAUCGACUCGAAGGCAGGAGAGGGUAGUGGAAUUCCCGGUGUAGUGGUGAAAUGCGUAGAUAUCGGGAGGAACACCAGUGGCGAAGGCGACUACCUGGCCUGUUCUUGACGCCGAGGCGCGAAAGCUAGGGGAGCAAACGGG
rnacentral:rRNA from 1 species